AUCUCUUUGAGCAGUUUGAUGUUUUAAUUACCAAUUCAUAUGUAAACUAAUCUUGACUCUAACAACAGCAAGUUGAGAAAUCUAGAGAAGGGUCUUCCACAAUACAAAGCAGCACCUUUGUUUGAUAAGCUUGUGUUUGAUAAGACAAAACAAGCAUUAGGUGGACGAGUUCGAAUCUUGUUAUCAGGAGCUGCCCUUUGCCUAGACAUGUUGAGGAG